UACGUAGGGAGCAAGCGUUGUCCGGAAUCAUUGGGCGUAAAGCGCGCGUAGGUGGCCUCGUAAGUCCGCUGUGAAAGUCAAAGGCUCAACCUUUGAAAGCCGGUGGAUACUGUGAGGCUAGAGUACGGAAGAGGCGAGUGGAAUUCCUGGUGUAGUGGUGAAAUGCGUAGAUAUCGGGAGGAACACCAGUGGCGAAGGCGACUACCUGGCCCAUUCUUGACGCUGAGGCGCGAAAGCUAGGGGAGCGAACGGG
rnacentral:rRNA from 1 species